rnacentral:rRNA from 1 species
UCCUACGGGUGGCAGCAGUGGGGAAUAUUGGGCAAUGGGCGCAAGCCUGACCCAGCGACGCCGCGUGGGUGAUGAAGGCCUUCGGGUUGUAAAGCCCUGUCAUGUGGAAAGAACAGUUCCGUGGUGAAUAUCCACGGGAUUUGACGGUACCACAGGAGGAAGCACCGGCUAACUCCGUGCCAGCAGCCGCGGUAAUACGGAGGGUGCAAGCGUGGUUCGGAAUUAUUGGGCGUAAAGGGCGCGUAGGCGGUUGUGAAAGUCAGAUGGGAAAUACUUCGGCUCAACUGAAGAACUGCAUCUGAAACUUCAUAACUCGAGUACAGGAGAGGGAAACGGAAUUCCCGGUGUAGAGGUGAAAUUCGUAGAUAUCGGGAGGAACACCAGUGGCGAAGGCGGUUUCCUGGCCUGAUACUGACGCUGAGGCGCGAAAGCGUGGGGAGCAAACAGGAUUAGAUACCCGAGUAGUC